GGCGAGUGAAGCGGCAAAAGCUCAAAUUUGAAAUCUAGCACCUUCGGUGUUCGAGUUGUAAUUUGAAGAUGGUAACCUUGGGUUUGGCUCUUGUCUAUGUUCCUUGGAACAGGACGUCAUAGAGGGUGAGAAUCCCGUCUGAUGAGAUGCCCAUUCCUAUGUAAGGUGCUAUCGAAGAGUCGAGUUGUUUGGGAAUGCAGCUCUAAGUGGGUGGUAAAUUCCAUCUAAAGCUAAAUAUUGGCGAGAGACCGAUAGCGAACAAGUACAGUGAUGGAAAGAUGAAAAGAACUUUGAAAAGAGAGUGAAAAAGUACGUGAAAUUGUUGAAAGGGAAGGGCAUUAGAUCAGACUUGGUGUUUUACGAUUAUCUUCUCUUCUUGAGUUGUGCACUCGUAUUUCACUGGGCCAGCAUCGAUUCGGAUGGCAAGAUAAUGGCAGUUGAAUGUGGCUUCACUUCGGUGGAGUGUUAUAGCUUCUGCUGAUAUUGCCUGUCUGGAUCGAGGGCUGCGUCUUUUGACUAGGAUGCUGGCGUAAUGAUCUAAUGCCGCCCGUCUUAAACCCCGGGACCAAU
rnacentral:rRNA from 1 species